rnacentral:rRNA from 1 species
GACGAACGCUGGCGGCGUGCCUAAUACAUGCAAGUCGAACGAGAGCGACCGGUGCUUGCACUGGUCAAUCUAGUGGCGAACGGGUGAGUAACACGUGGGUAACCUGCCCAUCAGAGGGGGAUAACAUCCGGAAACGGAUGCUAAAACCGCAUAGGUCUUCGAGCCGCAUGGCUUGAAGAGGAAAAGAGGCGCAAGCUUCUGCUGAUGGAUGGACCCGCGGUGCAUUAGCUAGUUGGUGAGGUAACGGCUCACCAAGGCCGUGAUGCAUAGCCGACCUGAGAGGGUGAUCGGCCACAUUGGGACUGAGACACGGCCCAAACUCCUACGGGAGGCAGCAGUAGGGAAUCUUCCGCAAUGGACGCAAGUCUGACGGAGCAACGCCGCGUGAGUGAAGAAGGUUUUCGGAUCGUAAAAACUCUGUUGUUAGAGAAAGAAACAAAGUGCUAGAGUAAACCG